rnacentral:misc_RNA from 1 species
AACGCAUAUUGCGCCCUUUGGCAUUCCGAAGGGCAUGCCUGUUCGAGCGUCAUUAUCAACCCUCAAGCUUAGCUUGUUGUUGGAUGAAAUUUUAUCACAAAUUCAUCCCAAAGGCAAUGGCGGCGUCUUUUGACCCUUGAUGCAACGAGCUUUUAAAGCACGCAUUUAAAGUGGUUAAUUGAUUCUAGACCUUUAUCAAUUAAUUUUUUAAGGUUGACCUCGGAUCAGGUAGGAAUACCCGCUGAACUUAA